rnacentral:rRNA from 1 species
CCUACGGGGGGCUGCAGUGAGGAAUAUUGGUCAAUGGGCUUACGCCUGAACCAGCCAAGUCGCGUGAGGGAAGACUGCCCUAUGGGUUGUAAACCUCUUUUGUCAGGGAGCAAUUGGCGCUACGUGUAGCGUUAUCGAGAGUACCUGAAGAAAAAGCAUCGGCUAACUCCGUGCCAGCAGCCGCGGUAAUACGGAGGAUGCGAGCGUUAUCCGGAUUUAUUGGGUUUAAAGGGUGCGUAGGCGGACUGGAAAGUCAGCGGUAAAAUCGAGAGGCUCAACCUCUUUCCGCCGUUGAAACUGUCGGUCUUGAGUGGGCGAGAAGUAUGCGGAAUGCGUGGUGUAGCGGUGAAAUGCAUAGAUAUCACGCAGAACUCCGAUUGCGAAGGCAGCAUACCGGCGCCCGACUGACGCUGAGGCACGAAAGCGUGGGUAUCGAACAGGAUUAGAUACCCUGGUAGUC